ACGCUGGGCGGCGUGCCUAACACAUGCAAGUCGAGCGGAGAUGAUGUGAGGAAGUUUUCGGAUGGAAUCACAUUAUUUAGCGGCGGACGGGUGAGUAACGCGUGAGCGACCAACCUUGCACAGGGGGAUAACGGACCGAAAGGUUCACUAAUACCGCAUGAGACCACGGUGUUGCAUGACACAGGGGUCAAAGGAGCAAUCCGGUGCAAGACGGGCUCGCGUCCGAUUAGGUAGUUGGUGGGGUAAUGGCCCACCAAGCCUAUGAUCGGUAGCCGACCUGAGAGGGUGAUCGGCCACAUUGGAACUGAGAUACGGUCCAAACUCCUACGGGAGGCAGCAGUGGGGAAUAUUGGGCAAAUGGGGGAAACCCUGACCCAGCAACGCCGCGUGAAGGAAGAAGGUUUUCGGAUUGUAAACUUCUGUCCUUGGUGUAAGAGAAGAAGACGGUAGCCAAGGAGGAAGCCCCGGCUAACUACGUGCCAGCCGCGGC
rnacentral:rRNA from 1 species